rnacentral:ncRNA from 1 species
UAUAGGUCAUGGCUUGGUUAAGGGAACCCACUGGAGCUGUAGUGAGAGAGAUUCUUCAUGGGGAAAUUGUCACUACUUAUGGAACUGAACCUAGGUGAUCUAUCCAUGAUCAAGAUGAAGCUUGGUUGAAACUAAGUGGAGGUAUGAACCGAUUGGUGUUGAAAAAUUAGCGGGUGAGUCAUGGUUAGGGGUGAAAUGCCACUCGAAUCGAGAGCUAGAUGG